UACGAAGGGUGCAAGCGUUACUCGGAAUUACUGGGCGUAAAGCGUGCGUAGGUGGUGAGUUAAGUCUGUCGUGAAAGCCCCGGGCUCAACCUGGGAAUGGCGAUGGAUACUGGCUCGCUAGAGUGCGGUAGAGGAGAGUGGAAUUCCCGGUGUAGCAGUGAAAUGCGUAGAGAUCGGGAGGAACAUCAGUUGCGAAGGCGGCUCUCUGGACCAGCACUGACACUGAGGCACGAAAAGCGUGGGGGAGCAAAACAGG
rnacentral:rRNA from 1 species